rnacentral:rRNA from 1 species
UGCGCAGGCGGCUUAUUAAGUCAGUGGUGAAAUCUCUCGGCUCAACCGAGAAACUGCCAUUGAAACUGAUAAGCUUGAGUGUGGCUGUGGUAGGCGGAAUAUAGCAUGUAGCGGUGAAAUGCUUAGAUAUGCUAUAGAACACCGAUCGCGAAGGCAGCUUACCAAACCAUUACUGACGCUCAUGCACGAAAGCGUGGGGAGCAAACAGGAUUAGAUACCCUGGUAGUC